AUUGAACGCUGGCGGCCGGCCUAACACAUGCAAGUCGAGCGAGCGGCGGACGGGUGAGUAAUGUAUGGGGAUCUGCCCGAUCGAGGGGGGUAACUACUGGAAACGGUGGCUAAUCCCGCAUACUAUCGGAUGAACCCAGAUGGGAUGAGCUAGUAGGUGGGGUAAAGGCUCACCUAGGCGACGCUCCCUAGCUGGUCUGAGAGGAUGAUCAGCCACACUGGGACUGAGACACGGCCCAGACUCCUACGGGAGGCAGCAGGGGGGAAUAUUGCACAAUUGGCGCAAGCCUGAUGCAGCCAUGCCGCGUGUAUGAAGAAGGCCUUAGGGUUGUAAAGCACUUUCAGCGGGGAGGCGUUACCCGCAGAAGAAGCACCGGCGAACUCCGUGCCAGCAGCCGCGGUAAUUC
rnacentral:rRNA from 1 species